GGUUAAGUUACUAAGGGCACACGGUGGAUGCCUUGGCGCUAGGAGCCGAAGAAGGACGCAGCGAACUGCGAUAAGCCUCGGGGAGCGGUAAGCACGCUUUGAUCCGGGGAUCUCCGAAUGGGGCAACCCACCAUCUGUAAUGGGAUGGUAUCCUUCACUGAAUCCAUAGGUGAUGAGAGGGCAGACCCGGUGAACUGAAACAUCUAAGUAGCCGGAGGAAGAGAAAACAAUAGUGAUUCCGUCAGUAGUGGCGAGCGAACGCGGAAGAGCCUAAACCGUCGGGUUUACCCGGCGGGGUUGUGGGGCGUCUCACAUGGAGUUACAAAGGAUGGAUGUAGAUGAACAGUCUGGGAAGGCUGACCAAAGAGCGUGACAGUCGCGUAAUCCAAACAUCCAUCCCUCCGAGACCAACCCCGAGUAGCACGGGACACGUGAAAUCCCGUGUGAAUCUGGCAGGACCAUCUGCUAAGGCUAAAUACUACCUAGCGACCGAUAGUGAACCAGUACCGUGAGGGAAAGGUGAAAAGCACCCCGGGAGGGGAGUGAAACAGUACCUGAAACCGUGUGCUUACAAAUAGUCGGAGCCCGUUAAAAGGGUGACGGCGUGCCUUUUGUAGAAUGAACCGGCGAGUUACGGUAGCGUGCGAGGUUAAGUCGAAGAGACGGAGCCGCAGCGAAAGCGAGUCUGAAUAGGGCGCAAGUACGUUGCCGUAGACCCGAAACCGUGUGAUCUAGCCAUGUCCAGGGUGAAGGUAGGGUAACACCUACUGGAGGCCCGAACCCACGCACGUUGAAAAGUGCGGGGAUGAGGUGUGGCUAGCGGUGAAAUUCCAAUCGAACUCGGAGAUAGCUGGUUCUCCCCGAAAUAGCUUUAGGGCUAGCCUCGGAAU
rnacentral:rRNA from 1 species